rnacentral:tRNA from 1 species
CCGUCGAUCGCUCAGUUGGUGGAGCGGUGGACUGUAGAUCCAUAGGUCGCUGGUUCAAAUCCGGCUCGACGGA